ACCAGGAAGGUAAAGACUUAAUGACAGUAUUUCCUCAGUCAACCCAGAAACAAAACACGUCUGUGUCCUCGCCUCCCUGCAGAAGGCCAUGCCGAGCCGCUCAGAGUCACUCAGGGGACUUCAGCAGGUUAACUCCUUUUUCCCCCAGUGCAGAGAGAGACAUAGUCUAGGUGCAGAUAAUAGCCCUCGGGAUGAAGGUCGUAGUUGCCUCCUCCCUCAGAUUACACUGACAGAAAUAUUUCCUACUCUCCUCGGCUCAUUUCUUUACUCUGCAUUCUCAAAUAAUUCAAGUCCCUGUUGUUGACGGGGACCUUUCCUUGAGAGCCGAAGUCUGUUAGCGAUGCCAGCAAAGUGAUAGCGGUCCCUGCAAUAACAAGUUCUCACUGUCACCUUUAAACCCAUUGCUGUUGUCAGCUCUUGGGUCUGCAUUUAGGAGGGGCGGGUCUCAAGCAGGAGCUCAGCUAGAGGGACCCCACGCUUCCCCGAGUCCUGUCACAUUCAGCUCCGGGGCUGUUCCCACAACACAAAGUGCAGCUCAAUUAGGAAGAGGGGCCAUUAACGUGACCUCAAUUCCUUGACUCAUCCAAAGAAGAAGCCGCUAUCCGUUUGUGCCUCCAUCCUAAGGCCCUUAAGAGGAAACCCCAGAAUCCCAGCCAGCAUGGUUGUGCACGGUGAAAUGCCCCCACCCCAGCAGAGAGGACCCAGGAUCUAGGUGUCCUAGCUCCAAAAGCCCUGCUGGCACAGCACAGGGAGGCGGGGCCACAGUUCAGUCUGGUCUAGCAUUCCUCUGGGGCAAACCAGGCCGGACACGAGACUCGUCUCUCCUGCCAGACAGCGGCCACCAGCAGGGAAGGCGAGGAAGGGCAAGGGUCCCCUGGGGGUGUCUACCGACGCACCCCCGCCCUUCUCCCCCAGGCCUGCCCCCAGACCCAUCCAACCCGAAACCGACUCCCGCAUUCCUACUCGAGGAAGCCCCGAGUCCCCGCGCUGGAGCGUUACCUCCGGUGACCCCCCACAGCCUGUUGCCAGAUGGGGACUGGUGACUAGUUUUCCACAAAUAGAGACACAGAACAGUCUCCGCCUCCUGCAACUCGCUUCCCUGGGGCCACAUCAAGCCAGGUUUUUCCACCAGCCAAAAGACCUCAGCCAAGACGUACUGAAUCUCCCAGACCAGCAACAACCACGUCAUCCACCCCUUUCCAUCCCCUCCCCCCUGAACUAGAGGACUGGUCACUCCUUCACUUUCCCAGGACCCUGCUGUACUCUCCCUGCCCUCUAAGUACACAGCUUUCCCAGGAAGCCUGGGUGAGCAGAGCAUUGCUUCCCAAAUAGCUGGUACGAAGUUAGGAGAUGGAGUAAUCAGAGCCCUGGGGAAGAGAGCCGCAUCAUCUCCAUCCUAGACACCACUACUUCUCAAUCACCACGAAGUUGAGGAAUGUGUCCCACUCCCGUGUCUCCACUCCUCCACACCUCUAAAUCCACAGCCACUUAGAAACCUCCCACAAACCCGGGAGCCCAAUAACACCUUGAAGACCAAUACUUUAUU